CGCGAACUUAAGCAUAUCAAUAAGCGGAGGAAAAGAAACCAACAAGGAUUGCCUCAGUAUCGGCGAGUGAAGCGGCAAAAGCUUAAAUUUGAAAUCUGGCACUAGCCCGAGUUGUAAUUUGUAGAGGAUGUCUUCAGCAAAGGCUUGAGUCUAAGUUCCCUGGAACGGGAUAUCAUGGAGGGUGAGAAUCCCGUACAUGGUUCAUUGUCUCUUGCAUCAUGAAGCUCCUUCAACGAGUCGAGUUGUUUGGGAAUGCAGCUCAAAACAGGAGGUAAAUUCCUUCCAAAGCUAAAUAUUAGCCAGAGACCGAUAGCGAACAAGUAGAGUGAUCGAAAGAUGAAAAGCACUUUGGAAAGAGAGUUAAAAAGUAUGUGAAAUUGUUGAAAGGGAAGCGCUUGCAACCAGACUU
rnacentral:rRNA from 1 species